UAUAUGCUUAAUCUUCUUGAGAGAGUGUGUUUGCUUAAAGCAAGCGAGAGUAUUAGAGAUCUUUGAGAGAUGUAACAGUUUCUUGAGGACAUUGUCCUUUACGCGGGACAGUGUUAUCUUUUACGAUAUAACUUUGAAUAAAUUAGAGUGUUCAAAACAGGCCUUUUUAGCUUUGAAUAUAUUAGCAUGGUAUUAUAAAAUAGGGAAGGCCCUUAUUCGUAAAGUUCUGGUGUCUGUCAAAGGACACUUAGAGUCUGGGCUUUUAAUGAGAGAUAAAAAUAGAAUGUGCUGCCUGUAUUCUUAGGGGAAAGGUGAAAUUUUAUGAUCCUAAGAGGACACACUAAUGCGAAAGCUCUCAGCAGAGAUGUUUUUAUUAGUCAAGGACGAAAGUUCAGGGCGCGAAGAUGCUUAGAUACCAUCGUAGUCUGAACCGUAAACAAUGUUGAUUUAGGAUAUGCAAUCAUUAUAUUAUGACUUUGCAUGCACUAUACGAGAAAUCUAGAAUAUUCGAACUCUAGGGGUAGUAUAGUCGCAAGACUGAAACUUAAAAGAAUUGACGGAAGAGCACCACCAGGCGUGGAACCUGCGGCUCAAUUUGACCCAACUCGGGGAAACUUACCAGGGUAGGAAGUAAAAAGGAUUGACAGAUUAAUAGCUCUUUCAUGAUAAUACUAGUGGUGGUGCAUGGCCGUUUUUAGUUGGUGGUUUGAAUUGUCUGAUUAAUUUCGAUAACGAACGAGACCUAAUCCUGCUCGUUAGCUUAAUAGGGUCUAAUAAAGUCUUGCUAAAGUUUACUUUAGUGAGACACCUUUAGAUACCCGAAACUUUGCUUCUUAGAGGGACGCUUUUUGUUUGUGAAACAAUUAAAAGGAAGGUAGACAAUAACAGGUCUGUUAUGCCCUUAGAUAUCCUGGGCUGCACGCGCGUUACAAUGGAAUAUGCAUUUAGUAUUGACCAACUCAGAGAUGAUACAGGAAAUCUCGUAAACUAUUUCGUGAUGGGGAUAGUGUUUUGCAAUUAUCGCACUUGAACAAGGAAUGCCUUGUACAGAUCUCUCAUCAAGGGGUCUGGAAUAAGUCCCUGCUCUUUGUACACACCGCCCGUCGCUUCUACUGAUUGAAUUUCGUGAUGAGGACCUUGGACUGUGGACACUUAGGUGCAACUUGUUGUAUCCUAUGACUAUAGUUUUACUGUAGUCUUGUAGAAAUUUCUUCGAAUCUUGCAAUUUAGAAGAAGGAGAAGUCGUAACAAGGUCUUUGUAGGUGAACCUGCAGAGG
rnacentral:rRNA from 1 species